AUUGAACGCUGGCGGCAUGCCUUACACAUGCAAGUCGAACGGCAGCAUGAUCUAGCUUGCUAGAUUGAUGGCGAGUGGCGAACGGGUGAGUAAUACAUCGGAACGUGCCCUGUAGUGGGGGAUAACUAGUCGAAAGAUUAGCUAAUACCGCAUACGACCUGAGGGUGAAAGUGGGGGACCGCAAGGCCUCAUGCUAUAGGAGCGGCCGAUGUCUGAUUAGCUAGUUGGUGAGGUAAAGGCUCACCAAGGCGACGAUCAGUAGCUGGUCUGAGAGGACGAUCAGCCACACUGGGACUGAGACACGGCCCAGACUCCUACGGGAGGCAGCAGUGGGGAAUUUUGGACAACGGGCGAAAGCCUGAUCCAGCAAUGCCGCGUGUGCGAAGAAGGCCUUCGGGUUGUAAAGCACUUUUGUCCGGAAAGAAAUGGCUCUGGUUAAUACCUGGGGUCGAUGACGGUACCGGAAGAAUAAGGACCGGCUAACUACGUG
rnacentral:rRNA from 1 species